rnacentral:tRNA from 1 species
CCCUGGUUAGCUCAGUUCGUAGAGCGCUCCACUGGAAAUGGAGAGGUCCCGGGUUCGAUACCCGCCUGAUCCGGGU